CAAUAGCGUAUAUUAAAGUUGUUGCAGUUAAAAAGCUCGUAGUUGAACUUCUGUCUGUAUGUCAACCCUACAAGGAUCUGAUAAGACGGGCAUCCCCGAUCGACGGUUUACUGUACUUAAGUGUUCAUAUAACCUGAACCGGAUUUUACUUUGAAAAAUUAGAGUGUUUCAAGCAGGCGAUUUGCUGGAAUACAUUAGCAUGGAAUAAUAGAAGAUGACCACCACGCAUUUUUUUGGUAUAUUGCUGGAGGUAAUGAUUAACAGGGACGAGUUGGGGGCGAUUAGUAUUUAAUUGUCAGAGGUGAAUUCAUUGAUUAAUUAAAAGAACUAACUUAAUUGCGAAAGACAUUUGUCCAAGG
rnacentral:rRNA from 1 species